UGGGGAAUCUUGCACAAUGGGGGAAACCCUGAUGCAGCGACGCCGCGUGAGCGAUGAAGCCCUUCGGGGUGUGAAGCUCUUUCGACAGGAACGAUUAUGACGGUACCUGGAGAAGAAGCUGCGGCUAACUACGUGCCAGCAGCCGCGGUAAUACGUAGGCAGCAAGCGUUGCUCGGAGUUACUGGGCGUAGAGAGUGUGUAGGCGGUUCUCCAAGUCUGGUGUGAAAUCUCCCGGCUUAACCGGGAGGGUGCGCCGGAAACUGGAGGGCUUGAGUGUGGGAGAGGAAAGCGGAAUUCCUGGUGUAGCGGUGAAAUGCGUAGAUAUCAGGAGGAACACCGGUGGUGUAGACGGCUUUCUGGACCAUUACUGACGCUGAGACACGAAAGCGUGGGGAGUAAACAGGAUUAGAUACCCUGGUAGUCCACGCCCUAAACGAUGCAUACUUGGUGUGAGCCGUUCAUUCGGUUCGUGCCGGAGCUAACGCGUUAAGUAUGCCGCCUGGGGAGUACGGUCGCAAGGCUGAAACUCAAAAGGAAUUGACGGGGUCAUAGCUGUUUCCU
rnacentral:rRNA from 1 species